GGCGCUGUAGCACAGUUGGUUGGAGCGCCUGCCUGUACCCAGAGGAGGUAACGGGUUCAAGACCCUUCAGUGCUA
rnacentral:tRNA from 1 species